AUUACAUCACAUUUUUUCUUCACAGUGCAUGAAUGACAGUGAUUGACACAAGGCAAGUGAAGUCAAAGAUUCAUGAUUCAAGACACAACCACUACAAUCCAAGUAAGGUCCUGGAACAUUUUCACAUGCAAACAGUCACAUUUAAAAGGACGUUACAAGGUGGUCUGUACUACUUGUUGGUUGUCACAAUCAGAUAAAAAUCACAAAUGGGCUUCCACUUCUAUGUUAGCUCACCAUUAUCACUGAAGCAAGCAAUUCGUCCCUCAGGCACUUGCCCAAAAGUUGACACUACAGAGCGCUUAACAAGGAAAGGGUCCAUUUUCUGCACACCACUUAACUGGGCUUUACCAGCUUCAGUUCUCACUAAUUUCAGGCUUAGUCUGCUCCGAUUUGAGAGAUUAAAGGAGUUGCCAGGGUGAGCAAGCAAGUUCCACACGGUCUCCACUUUUCCACCUGCUGGUGUGCCACUGCACAUGCCAGAAAGAUGGGUAGAGACUAAGUGAAAACGUUAGCGUCACUGCCAUUUCCUUUACUCACCACCGUAGGUCUGGGGAAAACCUGGCCACCUGCUAGGUCAUUCCCCAACACAAGACCUACCCCUUCAAAAACACAACUUGGAACACACUCCAAGGUUAACCAUCCCAGACACUAAGUCAGACUUUCUGGGCACCUGAUGGGUGGGAACACAAUUACAUUUCAUCUCAAAACCACCUAGGAGAACAUCAGAAAUGGUGUCCGAUUUCUGUGAAAAGGGAAGUAUCUCUUUCAAUAAAGAGGACUGCAACGAACCAAUAUCCCGUAGAAUCAGGAAAAGUUGGUUCAAUACGCAACUAAAUUUGAAAAAAAAAAAAUAUCCCGGAACCUCUCGCACCCGAAGCGAUCCCGGACGAGCCCCCAUUUGUUACGAUCCCCUCAGUGUCUAGGGGUCUGGAAGGGAAGUAACAAGAUAGUAAAGAUACAAAAAGGCGAGAACACACUUCAAUCCUCUGUCCCAGAGUGAAGAGGACACCCGUUGAUAUAUACAAAAAAAAUAAUUUUUAUUUACAAGACAGAAAAAUAAUACAAUAUAAAUGGGAGCAAAGGCUCGGGGGAGGGCAAGGCCUAAAAUAACAAACAAAAGUCCACUAACCAAUUUAAGGAAAAACUCUAACUCACCUUAAAAGAAAAGAAAAGAAAAAUACAGCCAACUUCCCUCACCUCCCUUGCUAUACAAAAACAGAGGCAACCGAAUACAAUAGAAAAAGAAAGAGGCACUCUCCCCCUACAGCAUCCCUCUAAUCACAGACUAGAAUCACUUGAGACAAAAGAGCCACAAUACCUUUUGCUCAAUCACAACCUGGGACAACAUCCAUUAACAGUCCAUGCAGAAAUAAACGUUAGCCACUGCUAAUCACAACUAUAGUCUCUGCACGAAAAGCUAGCACAGGGUUCAGUCUGGAGCAGGGGAGAAGUGUGUUCCCAGGCAGAGUGUAAACUGCCCUUACAUCCUCUUGGUCUUCAGGCACGCUCACAAACGAGCUACAGGUGGUGAUGAUUUUCCCUGAGGAGUAGCAGAGCGAGAGAGAAAAAGGGAGACAGAGCAAAAACACAAAGGGCAUUCAACCACACCCACAUCUGUGAACAGCAAUGAAACAAAUUCAAGAACAAAAAUGGAAUUUAAAAAAAAAAAAAUAAAUACACGUCCCUGUGGACGUAACAAUAACAAACCAUUUAAUCAGCUUUCAGAUGAUGUAUAAAUCUCAGGUUCGAAAAAUUGACACUUAAGACAAUUUUGUGGUCCAGGGUCACAUUUUAUUUGAAAUUUUUAUCCACAUACAGGGCAAUAUUGACAAUAUAUUCAAUGUAUGCGAAAUGUUCUAUUGUCUCGUAGGAGUACUAAGUUUUUAUAUAUAUAUAUAUAUAUAUAUAUAUAUAUAUAUAUAUAUAUAUAUAUAUAUAUAUAUAUACUUUGAUUAAAGAAACCAAAACAGAAUAGAGUUACUGUCAUCAGAAACUAUAGUCACUGUCAACAUACAUUCCCCUGCUAAAAGACUAGCAGAUCAUGGAUAAAUUAGAUGAACCAGUCUGGACUAGCAUGUUAAUUCUUGCUGCUCUUUUCAGCAGGGUUAUCUUAUUUACUUUUGAUUCAUCCAAAUGUCUAUCUUAAACUAAUUUAUCUGUAGUUCAUAUGAAUCUCAGUAUAAGUGAGUCUUGUUCAAAGGCAAGUUACAUUAGCACACGUGGGUUUACAGUUUUUGGAGAUCUACAGAUCUACAAACAGAGAUGAGGUUUCUAUCUGUGUCUCUAUGUCUGGAACAUACAGAUGCGUUUGGCGCUUUUUUCACUGUUGUGUUUCUUAAAACAUUUUAUGUGCACAUGCUGGAUAAAUAAACAUUCAUAUUUUGAGAUGUAA
ensembl:lncRNA